rnacentral:rRNA from 1 species
UGGCCUGGCGGGAUGUUACACACGCAGUCUAACGAGAACGGGUAUUAGCUGCUAAUACUGUCAGCUAAGUGGCGCACGGGUGAGUAUAUAUAGGUAAUGUGCCUUCAAGAAGGGGAUAACAGUUGGAAACGACUGCUAAUACCCUAUAUGCCUUUAAUACAUAAGUAUGCAAGGGAAAUAUUUAUAGCUUGAAGAUCGGCCUGUACAGUAUCAGCUAGUUGGUGAGGUAAUGGCUCACCAAGGCAAUGACGCUUAACUGGUUUGAGAGGAUGAUCAGUCACACUGGAACUGAGACACGGUCCAGACUCCUACGGGAGGCAGCAGUGGGGAAUAUUGCACAAUGGGGGAAACCCUGAUGCAGCAACGCCGCGUGGAGGAUGACACAUUUCGGUGCGUAAACUCCUUUUAUAUAGGAAGAUAAUGACGGUACUAUAUGAAUAAGCGCCGGCUAACUCCGUGCCAGCAGCCGCGGUAAUACGGAGGGCGCAAGCGUUACUCGGAAUCACUGGGCGUAAAGAGCGUGUAGGCGGAUAAUAAGUUGAAGUGAAAUCUGGGGCUCACCAUAGACUGCUUUGAAACUGUUAUCUGAAUUGGAGAGUAAU